UUGUCAACACGGACGUCACCCGAAAAUUGGUAUAACUAAUUUUGGCGGCAUUUUGCAUCAUAGCGCUCGUGUAAGGAAGAAAAAAACUUUAAAAAUCUUAUGUCUUGCCAUAUAUGUGUUGAAGAUUACCACAAACUGACACAAACACAGUUUUUAAUCCAGUCCCCCCUCGGCAAUCUGACGUCCGUGUUGACAAAAACGUCGCUUGUUUGAGCUCACUAUUG